UGGUCAUUACCAAGGCUUUUAGAAUGCAGUUUCUGAUUUACUGUGGACAUGAUCAUAAAACACUUACCGUAAAAAGUUUUUGUCUUUUUGCUAUCUUGCAAACAUACAACCAACUGGGGUCAUCA
ensembl:snoRNA